rnacentral:rRNA from 1 species
UUCACGGAGAGUUUGAUCCUGGCUCAGGACGAACGCUGGCGGCGCGCUUAACACAUGCAAGUCGAGCGAUCGGCUCCGGGCCUUCGGGCCUGGAGUACGGAGCGGCGAACGGGUGAGUAACACGUGGGUAACCUGCCCUCGGCAUCGGGAUAACCCCGGGAAACCGGGGCUAAUACCGAAUAGCCUCCGGAGCCUGCGGGCGCCGGAGAAAAGGUAGCUUCGGCCUCUGGCCGAGGAGGGGCCCGCGGCCGAUUAGCUUGUUGGUGGGGUAACGGCCCACCAAGGCGACGAUCGGUAGCUGGUGUGAGAGCAUGGCCAG